GUGGGAGAUUAGAAGCGGCUUGUUAGAGGAAGACCUGCUCCAUUGCUCCAGCAUGGCGGAUCCCAAUGAGAAGAGAUAGGAGUAAGAGAGUUGGAGCAAGAUGGCAGAAGUCUCCUACUGGGUCUCUGAGGUUCAAAGCCUGCACUUGAUCUGGAGACCAGGCUGCCUGUGCACACAGCUCACUGCCCCACAAACCAGAGAGAAAAGGCAAAGGGGGAUUCUGCAUUUGCACUGCCUUUAAAGCAUCCGAGGAUGAUAAGAAUCAAGAAGGCAUUCUCAGCAAAGAACACUGGAAAGGAAACUCCAACCAUGCCCCGCCUGGUGAGUGACAUGACAUGUCAUGUCCUAUUACCUAGUUGUCUGGUGGGAAGGACUUACCUUGAGCACGUUUGCAAGCCCUCACUUCACAUCCUCGUCACAGG